CCUACGGGGGGCAGCAGUGGGGAAUAUUGCACAAUGGAGGAAACUCUGAUGCAGCGACGCCGCGUGAGUGAAGAAGUAAUUCGUUAUGUAAAGCUCUAUUAGUAGGGAAGAAAAUGACGGUACCUGAGUAAGAAUCCCCGGCUAACUACGUGCCAGCAGCCGCGGUAAUACGUCGGGGGCAAGCGUUAUCCGGAUUUACUGGGUGUAAAGGGAGCGUAGUCGGUAGUGCAAGUCUGGAGUGAAAGGCGGGGGUUCAACCUGCGGAGUGCGCUGGAGACUGUACGGCUGGAGUGCAGGAGAGGUAAGUGGAAUUCCUGGUGUAGCGGUGAAAUGCGUAGAUAUUAGGAGGAACACCAGUGGCGAAGGCGGCUUACUGGACUGUAACUGACGUUGAGGCUCGAAAGCGUGGGGAGCAAACAGGAUUAGAUACCCUGGUAGUC
rnacentral:rRNA from 1 species